rnacentral:tRNA from 1 species
GGGCCGGUCGUCUAGCUUGGUUAGGACACCGCCGUGACGCGGCGGGGGUCUCCGGUUCAAGUCCGGACCGGCCCACCA